ensembl:lncRNA
GGUGUACGACCUGAUGCUGGGCUGCUGGCAGAGAGAGCCCCACACGAGACUCAACAUCAAGGAGAUCCACUUGCUGCUCCUCAACCUGGCCAAGGCCUCGCCCGUCUACCUGGACAUCCUAGGCUGAGAGCCUCUCAGGGGGGGGGCCACCUCGGGGGCCCACUGAGAAGAGAGCAGUGUGCUUGCCGUGUGUGUGUCUGUAUGUUUGAGAAUGUGUGUUUGUGUCUGUGUAUUUAAGAGUAUGUGCACGAGAGGUACAGUAUAUAUGCAUCAUGUGUCUGGGUCAUGUAUAUCAUAACAUGUCACAGAAAAUGUUUGUAUGAGCAUGUGUGUGUGCGUGUUCAUUGGUGUGUAUGUGGGCGUGCGCACGUGUGUUUGUGUGUGUGCGUGUGAGUGUGUGUCUGUGUGCACAUGCCUGCUUGCGUGAGUGUGUGUGUGGGUUUGUGUAUGUGAAUGUUAUACGCUUACUGUACAUGUGUACAGGGCGCAAAGCUAUUAACAAACUCUUUAAGGCAAUUCAAUUUUUUUCUUGACUUCUCCUUAUACUGGCUCCUUAUACCCCCUGUUCCCCCAACCCCAUGCCCUAGCUCUGCCACCCACCACCUAAGCCCCUUUCCACCCCAAUCUGACAUUUUACCAAGGAAAUUAAAAUUUCGGAAGAAAAAAACAAGAAAAAGAAAAGAAAACAACUCUCUCGAUUCAAAUGCUUUAAACUGACUUGAGAGCUAACAUGUGGGGAGUCGACUCAACAGGAUUUCAUUUAUCAAGUUUUUAUGCGGUACUGAGCAAUGACGGUCGCUCGUGGGCUACUGGGUCGAUGGAAACUGCCGAGAUGAGCAGACAUUUCGCCCAAAGUAAGAGACGGGAAUACCGGGAAUGAAAAAAAAAACAAGCUUCAUCGUUUUUCGUGUACAUAUGAGACCCUACUGUGGGGAAGGACUUUCAGAGGAAAUGGAUCUACAUUAAAACCAAGCUAUAAAGACACUGUGUUCUCCUAACCCCCCCUCCUUGUCUAUCGGUUGAACUCUGUCUGUCUUUCUGUAAUGUGUAGAUGAAUAUUAAUGACUUCAUCGUAUCCGAACACAGACCGUGUGGGACAGAACUGAGCACAAGACAGCAAACACAACUGUAAUACAAUUAUAAGUUAUAAAAAAAAAACAAGAAUGAAUAAAAAAGAAAACAAAAGCUUGUAUUCCAAUUGCCCAUUGCAAAGAGUGAUGAAGACACGUACGUCCUCCUUGGUUGUUUUCAGACCGUGUUUGAAAAGGAUAACAUGCAAAAAGGCUAAAAUGCUGAAUGGCCAUUGACGAAGAUGAACUAAGAUUAGUUUUUGCAAUUGAAAGAAGUCUACGACAGUUGUUCUUACGACACUGUGCUAGUGUAAAUGUACUCACUCCCACACAGCACAGGUUCAAUCUUUUGUUAUCAGCACUGCUGUGCAAAUAUAUCCCGGAUCACAAUAUCAAAUGUACAUAGAAAGAUAUACGAUUAUUCACUCCCGAGACGCGCUAUUUUAAUGCACAUCGGUUUCCAGGCACCUAUUUAUGUAUUUAUUUAUUUAUGUAUUGAGCCAAGGACAUAAAGGACAUCACAUCAGCCUGUGUUAGAGCACGGGGUUGCUGGCUGGGACAGAUGCCCCACUUGUGAUGUCAAGUGCUCAGAGCAGGGGGUCAAUUGAUUCAUUAGUGAGCAGCUGUCUGGGGGUUAAGGGUUUCAUGGGGGCUGGAUGUCGGGCGGUCAGAUGACAUGUCGUAUGUAAGGUGUGGUUUGGUCCUUCAACCUAUAUUAAAUCACGUGUGCUCUCAGCGCUCCCACAUCCUUAAGAAGCGUAUCUGCAUGGGAGUGGGGAGGGAGGGAUCUCCUGAUUGCACGUGGAAGACACGUAUGCACUCACUAUAGACACAUGCACGCGCACAGACACACACACACACACACACAAAGACACACACACACACACACACACACACACACACACACACACACACACACACACACACACACACACACACACACACACACACACACACACACAGAAACAACCACACACCCAGACACAAAUCACAGACACACACACACAGAUAUCCUCUACACAAACACACACCAUCCCGUCAGCCUCUUCUUACACACACACACACACACACACACACACACACACACACACACACACACACACACACACACACACACACACACACACACAUAAACACCCAGACGCACAAAUAAAACAAACGUGCAUGCGUCCAAUGAGAGACACUCUAAACAGGCAGAGAGGGAAAUUGAAUUGUGCAUGUUUUAUUAUUUGAGCGGUGGACUGCAGCCUGGCUCGCUCCUUUGUAAUGGUGUAAUGUAUAUUUCAUUACCGACUAAUGGGCUCCAUUAGCAGUGGCUCCACCCAGACAUUCAACACUUAUUGUUUCAUGGCCCAGAAGGAAGAAAGAACCGAGGAGGAGGGAAGACUGACGACGAAGAGGAAGGGGAGGAGGCCUGGGUGGGGGGGGGUUAGGGAGGGGGGGUGAAAAAUGAAAUAUGAAGGUAUAGAAGGUUGACGGAGACAGAGUUAAGGAAUGAAAUAUCGUCCGAGGUCAAAGGUGUGGGGGAGUUAUUUGGAGAGGAAAAGUGCAAAAGAUAAAGCAGUCUGAAGAAUGAAAUGCAGAGAUGUGAUAGAUGAAAGAGGGAUAGAGAAGGAAGAUCUCCAGCUCGCCCAUCCAUCAAAGCGCCUACAGGCACAACGUAAAUAAAGGAAUUUUAUUUUCUGCAUUCUAGAAGGGUAGCCAGACAGAACAGCCAGACAGAACAGAUCCUUCUUUGUUUUGAGUACCUUAAUCAAAUGUUCAUGUAAUAAUACAGUUCAGAAUAGUUGCAAGUAUACAAAAGCUCUUCGUUACAUUGAUGUUUGCAUAAAAACCCAAAUGUUGAUUUGAUUACUUCAACUGUUUUCCUUAAGACACAUUUUUCUUUGUAAUUGACAUAAAGGACUGUUUUGAUUGAUAUGCUGUUGGUUGAAUUAGUGAGUUUGUGUGUAGUGUGUAUUGGUCAGUCCUUAUCAACGGGACUCUCUACCGAAGGGAUAAUUCACAAGCUAGUAGAUUGAUCCUCAGCAAAUUGAGUCAAUAUACUGCAAAUAUAAAAAUGUAGUUUCAACACAAAAAAGUAUGACCCUGUUUAACAUUUUAAAUCAUCCCAACUGAAAAUAUAUGGCUUGGUCCAAAACAUAAUUUUUUUCGCAAUUUACGACGAGCAAUUUUGUGACCGUGUAUUAUGACAACCUGUAUAUGCGACAAGUGAAUUAUUUUCUUGGACAGUAUGAACCAACAAAUGCAAAUCUAUCACUGCUGUACAGGGAGGCUUAUAGCCGAUCGAAAACAGUCAAGGUUUAGUCAAUGCUUGUUACACUAAAGUACUGUGCAAUAACAUAGAGAAGAGAGGGUAAGGGAGAGGAGAGAGUGAGGAAACAAAAAUACAAACACUGUGAGAUGGUGCACAUGAAUGUUUUCUAAUGUAUAGAUAGGACAUAGAUUAAAAAGUGUUGUUUUGAAUGGGGAUUUACUUAUUUGGCUCAUGUACCCUCAUGUCAUAUGUAUGUUAAUUUGUUCAACCGUGUUGAAAACGAAUGCACGUAUUGUUCAAUGGUGGAAUCGUAGGGGUCGGAAGAUGUUGGAAGAAUUGACAGCACAACUUUGGAGGCAUUCCAUCAAAAAGGAUCCAAGGAAUAUGGAAGUUGAACAUUUACCCAGAAUACACUUGGUGGAAGGAUUCAGCAAAAAAACAACAUACACUGUCUGUCUUCACAGUGAUGGCACAGAUCUCUGUGUUAUAUACUCAAUGGUUAAAAAGAAAAAUCAAAUCAAUGGACACCUCAGAAAAGGGGGGACUGACAAUCACAGACUUGUUUCUCUCUUAUUUAAGUGACCUAAUAUAUAAUAGACUAUUGUACCAAUUUUCCUAUUUGAUGCUGCCUACUGUACGUGAUAGUCCUAAACUUGAGUCUCUAGAAGUGCUAUGUUUUAUGUCUUGUUUUUCUAAAAUGAAAUAACGGCAAAUGGAAUGAACAUUAAAAAACGAAAAAUCUACUGUACAAAUGUGAAUAAGAAGGUGAAUUAAGACACACAGUCUGAGACUGUGUGAUCACUGGAUGGUCGUUUUUUCCGUCAAUGCUUAAAAAGUAAAGGGCAAAAAAAAUGUGACACACAUAACACAAAACGGUUGUACUCCCCACGAGGUAUGCACUUGUAUGCCUAUUUCCCUGGUGUGUGUGUGUGUGUGUGUGUGUGUGUGUGUGUGUGUGUGUGUGUGUGUGUGUGUGUGUGUGUGUCUUUGUGUGUGUGUGUGUGUGUGUGUGUGUGUGUGUGUGUGUGUGUGUGUGUGUGUGUGUGUGUGUGUGUGUGUGUGUGUGUGUG